GACGAACGCUGGCGGCGUGCUUAACACAUGCAAGUCGAGCGGAAAGGCCCUUUCGGGGGUACUCGAGCGGCGAACGGGUGAGUAACACGUGAGUAAUCUGCCCUUGGCUUUGGGAUAACCACCGGAAACGGUGGCUAAUACCGGAUAUGACGGGCUCCGGCAUCGGGGUUCGUGGAAAAGUUUUUUCGGCCAGGGAUGUGCUCGCGGCCUAUCAGCUUGUUGGUGGGGUAAUGGCCUACCAAGGCUUCGACGGGUAGCCGGCCUGAGAGGGUGACCGGCCACACUGGGACUGAGACACGGCCCAGACUCCUACGGGAGGCAGCAGUGGGGAAUAUUGGACAAUGGGCGGAAGCCUGAUCCAGCAACGCCGCGUUGAGGGGAUGACGGCCU
rnacentral:rRNA from 1 species